rnacentral:rRNA from 1 species
UAAAAAAGAUUUUUAUCGAUUGCGGACAAGCUCGUAUAGGAUUCAGAUUGUUGGUAGGGUAAAGGCCUACCAAGUCGAUUAUCUUUAGCUGUCUGGGAGGAUGGUCAGCCACAUUAGAUCUGGAAAACGUCUAACUAUCGAAGUGGUAGCAGCAGUGGGGAAUCUUGGACAAUGUGUUAACACACGAUCCAGCAAUAUCUUAGAGACUACGAAGGCUUGAAAAGGCUGAAAAGUUUUGAAUAAUAAGAGAACAAGGUAUUCUUGACUUACUUUUAUUAUGUAAGCUCCGACUAACUUCGUGCCAGCAGUCGCGGUAAUACGGGGGGGACUAACGUUAUUCAUCAUAACUGGGCGUAAAGGGUACGUAGGUGGCUUUUUAAGUCUUAAUCAAAGAAUCUAAGCAUAACUUAGAAAUUGAUUUUGAUACUACUAAGCUCGAGGUCAAUAGAGGUUAGUUAUAUUCUUGGAGUAAAAGUAAAAUCUUUAGAUAUCAAGAGGAUAACCGAGUGGUUAAUGCGACUUUCUGAAUUGAUGCUGACGCUAAGGUACGAAGGCAUGGGUAUCAAACGGGAUUAGAG